CCUGGCAAUCAGCAUACAAUCCAAUUCCCCCAAUAACGAGACGACACUUCGUUUUGAGGUCAAGCAGAACUGACUGUACUGGCACAUACAGCCUCUUUUAUUCCCAAUCCACAAACUUAGUACUGCCUACAGGGUUUUACAGAACAACCAAUAACACACGUACAUUACAGAAAACACUCCCAGCAAAUAUACACAAAAUCCUCCCCUCUGCUUGUGAUCUAAUUAUGGC